AGAUCAUCCUUAUUUCUUUCCAGUCAUAUUUGCAACCACAUCGCUUAAUACAGGCUGAGGAACUUGCUUAGAUGCUUCAUAGGAAUCCAGAAUUGGCCGUACGAAGGCUGGAAGGAAAAGACCAAUUCCUCCGAUUAAACAAGAUGCAGCCACCACGGGCUCUUGAACUACGAACAUCUUCAGCUUCUCCAUGACCGGCAUUUUCUCGAAAGUUUCGUCUGAUUCGCUUCCUGAGCUGAACGUUCGUGGCUUGAUUCUUCAAAGUCCAAAGUUAACGAGUGAAAAG
rnacentral:misc_RNA from 1 species